rnacentral:sRNA from 1 species
GGCUCGCAAGAAAUUCACUUUUCUGACCAAUGGCAUUUGCAUUUGGACCACUGUGCGUUGUCGCAGACCACGACGCGUAACUGCCGCGAUUUAUACAAACAUACGGUUUUGCUUAAGCAGCGGCCAUCAGUUGCUCGUCACAUGUUCGACACUCAAGUAGAGACCACCUCAAGUAACGGGAAUUGUGCAGAAAAUUGGAUCAACGAUCAGUUCUGUGACCAACCGACAAUUGAAAGUGGAGACUGAGAUUUAUUGAAAGUCGAAAAUCGAACCGAAACAAAUCGAAAGCCAGCCGCAACUUGUCCUGCUCUCGCACGUAAUUACAAGAAGCAGAAGCAGAAGCAUUCAGAUCGUUACGUACUUUUGCUAGCGCCAUCUGGCUUCCGAUUAUCAUUCGCGCGUUAUUUCGGCUCUCCUCGUCCUUGUUGUGGCCGUGGCGCAAGUGCCCUCUCUCGCUCGCACCGUCGCUGUCGUCUACGUGUUUCGAAGAAAGCAAGUUUAAAGCAAAUAGCGUAUACCAAAGACAUUGAAUCGCGUUCGGCAUCUUGUGAAUUCGGAAAAUAACAGUUAAAGCACGACUAGCCGCCCCAGUUUACCAGCAAGGAAUAGGGCAAACGUUUCGAACAGAGGACGCAGUGAAAAAAAAAGAGUGUAUGCACAAAAUAAAACAUCAGUCAGAGCCAGCGAAAAACAAGCAACAAUAACAUUAACAAAACCAACAACAACAACAACAACAGGCAACAGCAACAACAACAGCAACAACAACAAGGCGCAAUUUAAUGAAUUUUGUGAUUAUAAAUAUUUCAAAGGUACAACAAAAGCUCAUUUAAUAAAAAAUCGCGGCAUCGAGCACAACGCCA